CGCGAGGGGGAGCGAAUCCCAAAAAGCCGCUCUCAGUUCGGAUUGCAGGCUGCAACUCGCCUGCAUGAAGCCGGAAUCGCUAGUAAUCGCGGAUCAGCAUGCCGCGGUGAAUACGUUCCCGGGCCUUGUACACACCGCCCGUCACACCACGAGAGCUUGCAACACCCGAAGUCGGUGAGGUAACCCGCAAGGGAGCCAGCCGCCGAAGGUGGGGUAAGUGAUUGGGGUGAAGUCGUAACAAGGUAGCCGUACCGGAAGGUGCGGCUGGAUCACCUCCUUUCUAAGGA
rnacentral:rRNA from 1 species